rnacentral:misc_RNA from 1 species
CUUCAAUGUGAUGCUUGUUAUAGCUCUUGCAGGGGCUCCUCUGCAUUCCGUUGCAUGGAAUGCAAUUUUGAUCUCCACCUUAUAUGUGGUCCAUUACCCUGCACCAUUAAACAUAAAUGCCAUGUAGAUCCACUCACCCUCAAGGAUUUUUAUGUUGAGGAUGAAGAUGAAGAUGAUGAAUUUUAUUGUGAUGCUUGUGAAGAAAGAAGGGACCCACGACUCUGUGUUUAUUAUUGUGCACAAGGUUGCCCUAUGGUAUGUGAUGUGAAGUGUGUGAUUUCCGAGGUUGUGGCAUCACUAAGGGGAGAGCGAGGAGAUGUGGAAUUGAGAACCGUAGGUAGACACAUGACUAGUAAGGUGUUUAGUAAAGAUUUGGAAGUUAAAGAAAUGGAGCGAAAUGAGACAGAAAAGGUUGCUCUGGCGGAAAAAGUAAAGGUCAUACCAAAGUCAUUGGAUGAUAUAGUUGAUUCUUUAGAUACAACUGAGCAGAUAGAACUCAAUGAUAUUGCAACAGCUAUACAAAAUAGAGGAAAGGCAUCACUUGAAUGCAAGGAUCAAGGUACUUUUCCAUACUCAGAAGAGGCAUUUACGCAGUUCAUGGAUAGGCUCGAUUCUGCCAUUUUGAAUGAUGAUAUUCCAGAUUUCGUCUCAGAACAUGACGAAGAAUUUGUCACUGUUGGGGAUUACUUCGUCUCUCGCACGCUU